CAUUAAGAAGCUAUACAAGCAUUAGCCUUUUAAGCUAAAGAAAGAGGACCUCACACCUCCUUAAUG
rnacentral:tRNA from 1 species